rnacentral:lncRNA from 13 species
AGCAUGGAAGAGGCCUGUCCCUGAUGUGGGCAUUUCACUGUACCAUGGCAGGCCCUGCCCUGAGCUUCUGGUUGUGCCCUGGGCCACCUGGGACCAUUAACUGAGCCUGAACUUGACCUCUCAGCGCAGGUGACUUAGGUUGCCCUUGCUGCCUCUGACCCAGCCUUCUGUCUGGCCCAUUCUUUGUCUAGCUUCUUGGAGAUCAUCUGGGGGCAUCUGCACUCUGCUUCUCUUCCCCAGCCCCAGCAGCCCCCACCCGCAGCAAGCACAGCCUCCACACGUCAGUGGCACACGCGGCCUCUGUGGCCCAGACGGCGGUGUUUAAAUGCCACAGCCACUUCAAGGUCUCCGCGUCCAUCGGUUCAGGAAGGAAGUCCUACCGGACAAACCAGCUUUGGUACAGCACCCCUCACUGAAGCAGUGACGAGACCCAGAUACCCAGUUACCAUCUUACAAGACCAAAGCCUGCAAGAAGCGCUUCCCCGCACGAAAAGAGGCUCCAACUCUGCUUCUCUCUGCCUUGCACUCUAGUUAUUCACAGGCAUGUCCUGGUGCCCUGCCUGGAGGACAGAGACCCUGCCUUCUAGUCUCUGUGGCCUGCACACCCCCAUGCCCAGGGUCCAGCACCAGCACCAACAUUGAACCACAGCCUCCUCUCUGAGCCUGGAAGUGAGCAGCCACAUUUACAUCCCAGCAUAUGCAUUCCAAUAGGCUGCAGGAGGUGCUUGCUAAAACAUCAUUCCAUCUUGUGCUUAGAGCUGAGGUCGAGCAAAUGGAUCUGUGCAGAAAAUGCUCUUUAAAAUGCAUUACGCACAUGAGUUUAAAGAGAUGCCUGCUGCUCAGUGAAUUUCAAAAAGGAGCAAGCCAGUGAUGAACGACCUCUGUUGUUACCAGGCUAAGGAACAAGGAGCUCUGUCUGCCUGUAAAUAAAGUAUGGACAUGUGUCA